UACAGAGGGUGCAAGCGUUAAUCGGAAUUACUGGGCGUAAAGCGCACGUAGGCGGCUUGGUAUGUCGGGUGUGAAAUCCCCGGGCUCAACCUGGGAACUGCAUCCGAAACUGCCUUGCUAGAGUAUGGGAGAGGGAAGUGGAAUUUCCGGUGUAGCGGUGAAAUGCGUAGAUAUCGGAAGGAACAUCAGUGGCGAAGGCGACUUCCUGGACCAAUACUGACGCUCAGGUGCGAAAGCGUGGGGAGCAAACAGG
rnacentral:rRNA from 1 species